rnacentral:rRNA from 1 species
UACGUAGGGACCGAGCGUUGUCCGGAUUCAUUGGGCGUAAAGAGCUCGUAGGCGGCUGCUCAAGUCGAAUGUGAAAACUCGAGGCUCAACCUCGAGCCUGCAUUCGAUACUGGGCGGCUAGAGUCUGGUAGGGGGAUCUGGAAUUCCUGGUGUAGCGGUGAAAUGCGCAGAUAUCAGGAGGAACACCGGUGGCGAAGGCGGUUCUCUGGGCAUUACCUGACGCUGAGGAGCGAAAGUGUGGGGAGCGAACAGG